UACGGAGGGUGCAAGCGUUAUCCGGAAUCAUUGGGUUUAAAGGGUCCGCAGGCGGAUUUAUAAGUCAGUGGUGAAAGCCUACAGCUCAACUGUAGAACUGCCAUUGAUACUGUAAGUCUUGAAUUCGGUCGAAGUGGGCGGAAUAUGACAUGUAGCGGUGAAAUGCUUAGAUAUGUCAUAGAACACCGAUAGCGAAGGCAGCUCACUAGGCCUGGAUUGACGCUCAGGGACGAAAGCGUGGGGAGCAAACAGG
rnacentral:rRNA from 1 species